GUGUGUGUGUGUGUGUGUGUGUGUGUGUGUGUGUGUGUGUGUGUGUGUGUGUGUGUGUGUGUGUCUGUGUCUGUGUGUGAGGGAAAGCAAGCAAGAGACUAUCUGUCCAAAGAGGUCAGUCAUAAAUUCUCUGCCCUCAACUUAAAUCCAACACAAUGGGACAUUUAUGACCUGCCUGUAAUUCAUACUUGUGUACUAUCCGAGCCACAUGUAUCUGUUCCUUGGAAACCUCAUGCCUUUAAUAAUGUAAAUGAUGCAAUUACCAAAAUAAAACACUCAACUGUUUCCGGCAUGACGGUGAUGUUUUUGCUGGCAGGGUUUAUACUGCUGUUAUUAAAGUCUUCAGAAGUGGACCAUUAAAAAUAUUGCCACUACUGUAUUUGGCUUGAUGCAAUUCAA